UCUGGAGACUGGGAUUUUGUGUUCGAUUUUUCAGAGAUCCCAGGUUUUUGGAAGUGGUUCAGGGAGAAAGACAAGAAUCCCAGGUGAUCAGCCCACUCAUCACUAUAAGUAGCAGGUGGCCAGACGUAAGGACUAUAAAUGCUGCCGUCACUCAUGGCGCCCAGGGAUUGCGUGAUGGUGGGACCCCACUGAAAAGAGCACCAUCCCUGGCUGACAACAGGCUCAACAGAUCCAUUUGCACUAAGAUGUGUUGGACUCACUCUCCAAGUUUACUAAGAAUGUGGACUUGUUGAGCAGAACUCCAGGAGCCACAUGAUGACCUGGGAAUGGACAGCAGGCACAGUGGAG